rnacentral:misc_RNA from 1 species
AACGCACAUUGCGCCCGCUGGAAUUCCAGCGGGCAUGCCUGUUCGAGCGUCAUUUCAACCCUCAAGCCUAGCUUGGUGUUGGAGCACUACCAGUUAAACGGUAGGCUCUGAAAUUCAGUGGCGGGCUCGCUAAGACUCUGAGCGUAGUAGUUUAUCACCUCGCUUUGGAUGGAUUAGCGGUGCUCUUGCCGUAAAACCCCCCAAUUUCUGAAUUUUGACCUCGGAUCAGGUAGGAAUACCCGCUGAACUUAA